rnacentral:rRNA from 1 species
UACGGAGGGUGUAAGCGUUGUCCGGAUUUAUUGGGUUUAAAGGGUGCGUAGGCGGGAAAUUAAGUCAGGGGUGAAAGACUGCAGCUCAACUGUAGCAGUGCCUUUGAUACUGAUUUUCUUGAGUACAGAUGAGGCCGGCGGAAUGGGUGGUGUAGCGGUGAAAUGCAUAGAUACCAUCCAGAACACCGAUUGCGAAGGCAGCCGGCUAAACUGUCACUGACGCUGAGGCACGAAAGCGUGGGGAUCGAACAGG